rnacentral:lncRNA from 1 species
GUGCUUUCAAUAAUAUGAUAGUGGCUAUAAUUUAAGUAAUAAUGGGGAACAAGGGAUAAUGGGGCUGCUGAAAAACAGGAUAAAUAGCACUUAGUUUUAAAUUAUUCAAAAGCAGUUUUAAUGGAAACUUUCUGAUUUUAAAAAGAGAAAAGGGUCCAUCCAGCAUUAAAAGAGUAUAGGACCAGCCCUGUAUAAAUACAGGGAGCUGGACAGACUUUAGAGGGCAGAUUUUUUAGAUUGAAGAAAUCUGAUUUAGGAGAAAAAAGAGAAAAUCUGAAAAACAGAAGAUUUUAAGAAAGAAAAAGAAAGGAAAUCAGAUUAGAAGAGGGAAUUGAGAGAGAAAAAUUUGAUUUAAGAUCAGUUUUCAGAAAAGAGGAGUUUUUUUUUCAUAGAAGAGUUUGAAAGAGAAAUAAAAAUCAGAUUUUAAGAUAGUUCAGGAAAGAGAAAAACAGAAAGAAAGAAAGAGAUUGAAAUAGAAUCAGAAAUAGAAAUUUGAAAAGAAAAACAAACAAAAAGGAACACUCACACAGUGAAGCUGAAACAGAUACCAGAAAAGAAAAGAAAAAUCUGAAACCUUGUUAAGAAAAAUCUGAAACCUUGUUGUUCUUUUUGGAAUCUGUCCGGGUCUGGGUAUUGAUACUAUUUGGUUUUAAAAAAUCUGAAAUUCUUUAAGAAGCGUUGCUCUUGUGAAUCUGGAUUUCUCGGGUCUUAUUAUUACUCAAAUCUGUGGGAAUACUGAUAUUCUGCCAGUAUUUUGUUACUGCUGCUGUUGCUGAAAUUUACUCCUUCUACCUUCAUUUUCAGGUACAUGCCUUUUAAAUUUUAUGUUGGAAAGAGAUUCAACAUGACUAAUCAAUGAAGUUUGAAUUGCAAUUCUGUUUUCCAUUUGUCCAAGUUCAUCAGUUUAAAUUUCAUUUUUGUUUCAUGGUAGUUAAUUAGUAGAGAAUUCAAUUUGAUAACUAUGAGUUAAUUGUCUUACUUUGAAAU